UUAGCUCAGCUGGGAGAGCAUCUGCCUUACAAGCAGAGGGUCGGCGGUUCGAUCCCGUCA
rnacentral:tRNA from 4 species